AUGUCCAUAAAGUUAGCAUUUGUUGUGACAGAAAUUUGAUAGAAUAUCCUUUAAUUUCCUGGAAAAGCCUAUGUUCCAUACCCAGGGGCCCAUGCGACAGACUCACACAGGCUGGGAUGCUCAUGCUUCUGACCAACACACACCCAAACUACACAAAACCACAAGCACAGUAAAAUCCCUUGAAGCUUUGGUGGGUGGAAAACUACAUCAGUCUAUAAUUUAUGCAGAGAAAUUUCACUUACAUGGUACCUUUUCCAGUCUCAACAUCUCAUCAUAAAAUGAGCUCACAUUAGCAGUGAAAGGUGCCAUUGAUGUAUUAAGUUUUAUUAGCUCACAUCUUUGAAUCUGCCAUUAAAGCAGGUUAAUGGCCUGCUCUGGUUUAUCAUUUCUGUGGCUCACAGCUGGGAACCACAUUAGGUUUGCCUCACUUUGCAUGGCUCAAAACAGUCCCCCAGACUCUUACUGCUGAGGAAGAGCCACAUCACAGUUGUGCUUUCUUGACACGGCCUGCUGCUAAGAUGAAACAUCUCCACUUGUCUGUACCACUAUCAAUACGACAUUAAGGGGAAAAAGAAGUUUUUAUAGGGAAAAUAUAGACUUGGAUAAUAGCACUGAAUGUUAUAAUCAAAAAGGCAUUUGGAAAUAUGUUCCAGAAAAACACAAGGAGGAGGAGGAAGAAAAAAAAAUCCCACAAAAAUGUACCAUAAAGUCAGGCUUUAUUUUUUAUAAAAUGUGUAAGUCAACUCCAAACAUAGGCAAAUCAUUUAUUUCUUUUCUGUCAGAUGAGGUUUAAUGUUCUUCAUCCCUGUCUAAAGAACAGAAGUAAAAAAUAAACCUCUUCCAUGAAUCUAUAUGCAACACAUUUCUCAGCUUGGUCCAGACUGCAAUAAACACCUGAGCACAGCAGCAGUGGUGGUGUGCUGUGCAGCUGCGGGGCUGGAACUUUACAAACCUCUAUACUUUCAAACCCCUUGGUUUGGCUCCACAAUCCAGAUCUUAUACAUGAGAAAAUACAGGUUAUCUGGGCUGCCAGAAGAGCCCACUGAACGCAUCCUGUAGCGCUCUGUGACAAGCAAGAGAAGAAGUAUAGCCGCCAGCAAGAUCCUGUGGAGAUGCAGCCCGGACGUGGUUUAAAUACCUGAAAGAAAACAAAAAGUACACCAUUGAUUUGAAGACCGUAAGCCAGUGACAUUCUGCAAAGCAAGUGUAAAACUGAUUCUACAUUUGGAAAGGAAUUCCAAGAUUGAAAUGUUCAGGUUCACACACACAUAUAUAUGGAUUGCCCAACUACUACUAAGUUACAAAGGACAAUGAAUUCUAAGAAUAGUCCUUAUAACCUGUACAUUUGGAUGAAAUGUUAAAAUAUCCACUCUUUCACCAUUUCCAGUACUGAUUCGUUUUUUUGGAAGCUAUUUAGACAUCCAGCGAAUACUGUCCUUUCCAGCACGCACACUAUUAUGCUACUAACAUUUCUACGAAAGCUUUUUUUGUUGUUGUUUUGUUUUGUUUUGUUUCGGUUUUUCCAGACAAGGUUUCUCUGUGUAGCCCUGGCUGUCCUGGAACUCACUCUGUAGACCAGGCUGGCCUGGAACUCAGAAAUCCACCUGUCUCUGCCUCCCAAGUGCUGGGAUUAAAGGUGUGCACCACCACUGCCCCACUGCCCGGCUUUACAAAAGCAUUUUAAAGCAAAACCUUACAUACGGAAAACAAGCACACUCAGGAAGAGAGCACACAGUAGUUCACAGUCACCUCGGUAUCCCAGAAGCAUACUGUCUCUGUCCUUGCAAGGACAGGAACCUUAGAAAGUACACGUCUAAGAAGUGUGGGACAGAGCCUAAGCUGAGAACAAUGACCUGAAGAGUCAUAGAGUCCUAAGUACAGAAGGACAAACCCAUCUCAAAAGGCAGAACAACAAUGUUUCUUCAGUCUCAGCUUUUUUACCAAUGAAAAAUUAAUGCCUUCAUAAAAAUAGAUACAACAGGCCUAAAAACUCAGAGGAUCUCAGCCGAGGACUGACUUGUCAGCCAGACAGCUGCACUGCAGGAAAGAAUAAUUCCAGCCUUGCUUUAAUGCCUCUGCAGGAAGCCACACGGGCCCUGGAAACAAAGCUCCUUCGCCCACUUUCAGAAUUACAGGUACGAUAAAUGAAUAAAUCAGGAAGCAGGACAUUUUAAUAGCUUGGAACCUUUUCUACUUAUUCAUUCAAACUUCCUGUGUGUCAAGAUCUUAAUGCAUGAGCAACUUCCUAUUUCUAACAUAAUAACAAGUCAGUUUUUUGUUUGUGCAUAUGUUUUAAUAAGCUUGUAUGAUUAAGACAUGUAUGGCAACUUAAGGGACCAAAUAGAAGACGCUGUCAAAAUGAGACAGGUCAAACUCCUGGAAUUGGCUAUAAUUUAUUCACACUGCCACAAAUCAUGGUCUUAACUCAAAUCUUUGCUUUUCUGCCAAGGGGUAAAAGUCAAAGGAGAAAGAAAUAAAUGUUUAUUGAGC
rnacentral:lncRNA from 1 species